rnacentral:rRNA from 1 species
UGGGGAAUUUUGGACAAUGGGCGCAAGCCUGAUCCAGCCAUGCCGCGUGCGGGAAGAAGGCCUUCGGGUUGUAAACCGCUUUUGUCAGGGGAAGAAAUCUUCUGAGUUAAUACCUCGGGAGGAUGACGGUACCUGAAGAAUAAGCACCGGCUAACUACGUGCCAGCAGCCGCGGUAAUACGUAGGGUGCAAAGCGUUAAUCGGAAUACUGGGCGUAAAGCGUGCGCAGGCGGUUUUGUAAGACAGAGGUGAAAUCCCCGGGCUCAACCUGGGUACUGCCUUUGUGACUGCAAGGCUUGAGUGCGGCAGAGGGGGGAUGGAAUUCCGCGUGUAGCAGUGAAAAUGCGUAGAUAUGCGGAGGAACACCGAUGGCGAAGGCAAAUCCCCUGGGCCUGCACUGACGCUCAUGCACGAAAGCGUGGGGAGCAAACAGGAUUAGAUACCCUGGUAGUCCACGCCCUAAAACGAUGUCAACUGGUUGUUGGGAAGGUUCCUUCUCAGUAACGUAGCUAACGCGUGAAGUUGACCGCCUGGGGAGUACGGCCGC